CUGCGAGGAAAAGACUCAAAUUCCAGGAUAUUCAGAGUCACCUGGAUAAUUCCAGCACUGAGGCCAGCCUUCAUCUGUCGACAUGUCUCACAUGCUCACAAGCCAUACAUACUUCACCCUUUGACCUUUUUAAAGUUGUGUCCUCUCAUCAUAAUGAACUAUUUUAAUAAACGCAUACAUCUGGAAUCUCGGUAUAAACGAAUAUCAAAGGAAAAAUAUGUCAUUUGCAUAAUGGCAAAAUUAUUUUGUUUUGUAUUUUUGAUAUGGAAAUUCAGUGUUUGCAAUAAAAGUUGGGACAGUGAACAGUACAAAGCCCAACUGACAUAUCACAUUCAUCAUCAUUCUUAAAAUGAUGUGCACUUUUAAAGUCUGAAACAUGGAACAUUGCAUGCACUGAUCAAAAUUAAAGCAAUACUGUUAAUUGCUCCAAAAGCCAUGCUGUUUCAUGUAUUGUGUGCUUUGUCUUGUGAGAAUGUGUAAGCAUAAUUGAUCAACCUUUCGGUGUUAACAUUUGCACAACCUUCUGAUCACCAGUGAGUUGCAGUGCUAGUCGUGACCUGCCUUUGAACAUCAGACCAUCAAACCAGCAAAAUGACAUGCAAUUACCAACACUCUGCUGUAUCUGCAGGUUCUGACAGCUAUCCAAUAAACAAACAGCGUUUAUGCACAUCACAGUUAAGCAGAGAGGGCAAGAGCCUCGACCGCGACGCUGCCGUACAGAUGCUACUUUAUUCACAUGCCCCUUCUGCACAACUGAUGUAUGUAAGCCAAGACAGUACCAUCAAAUAAUGACCCAUAUAGCUGGCCAUAAACUGAGAGCGGUUGAAUAUGGAGAUAAUGUUAUAUACAGCUGUAACAUUGGCUGUGGCAAAAAGGCCAAACAUUUUCACUGCUGCCAGUGUCCCAAGACUUACAUCAAUAAAGGUGACCUAAAACAGCAUCUUUCCAGUGCUCAUCCAAUAGCUACUGGCACUCCAGAACCACAACCUGUAAGUCACUACAAGAACCUCCUUCACAGAAACAACCAGGCACCUCAUCCACAAGAACUUGAUUUGCAGCAAGCAACACCUCAUCCACAAGAAUUAGCAGCUUGUCCAGCGAUUGAGAGAAAGCAAAUCUCUGUUCAGUUUCCACAUAGGGUGAGUCUGAUUUCUAAAAAUUGAAAU
rnacentral:lncRNA from 1 species